rnacentral:rRNA from 1 species
GACGAACGCUGGCGGCGUGCUUAACACAUGCAAGUCGAACGGAAAGGCCCUGCUUGCAGGGUACUCGAGUGGCGAACGGGUGAGUAACACGUGGGUGAUCUGCCCUGCACUUCGGGAUAAGCCUGGGAAACUGGGUCUAAUACCGGAUAGGAGCCAUUUUUAGUGUGAUGGUUGGAAAGUUUUUUCGGUGUAGGAUGAGCUCGCGGCCUAUCAGCUUGUUGGUGGGGUAAUGGCCUACCAAGGCGGCAACGGGUAGCCGGCCUGAGAGGGUGGACGGCCACAUUGGGACUGAGAUACGGCCCAGACUCCUACGGGAGGCAGCAGUGGGGAAUAUUGCACAAUGGGCGCAAGCCUGAUGCAGCGACGCCGCGUGGGGGAUGACGGCCUUCGGGUUGUAAACUCCUUUCGCUAGGGACGAAGCUUUUUGUGACGGUACCUAGAUAAGAAGCACCGGCUAACUACGUG